GAUGAACGCUGGCGGCGUGCCUAAUACAUGCAAGUCGAGCGAACGGACGAGAAGCUUGCUUUUCUGAUGUUAGCGGCGGACGGGGGAGUAACACGUGGAUAACCUACCUAUAAGACUGGGAUAACUUCGGGAAACCGGAGCUAAUACCGGAUAAUAUUUUGAACCGCAUGGUUCAAAAGUGAAAGACGGUCUUGCUGUCACGUAUAGAUGGAUCCGCGCUGCAUUAGCUAGUUGGUAAGGUAACGGCUUACCAAGGCAACGAUGCAUAGCCGACCUGAGAGGGUGGUCGGCCACACUAGAACUGAGCCGCGGUCCAGACUCCUACGGGACGCAGCAGUAGGGUAUCUUCCGCAGAGGGCGAAACCCUGACGGAGCAACGCCGCGUCAGUUAUGAAGAUCUUCGGAUCGUAAAACUCUGUUAUUAGGGAAGAACAUAUGUGUAAGUAACUGUGCACAUCUUGACGGUACCUUAUCAGAAAGCCACGGCUAACUACGUG
rnacentral:rRNA from 1 species